ensembl:lncRNA
CUUACUUCCAAAACGUCAUAAUUUACCUACUUCUGGCCUGCCAAUGAAAACAAACACUGCUCAAAUCCUUCAGCAGACCACAGAAAUUACAUGCUCUUAUAAUUUGAGAUCCACAACAGCUGCUGCUUUAGCACAAAAGCAGCCUAUCUCUGGCCUGCAAAAACCAGCAGUAACCAGCAUACCUUCGGGCAUCCAUAGAGCAGGACAUGGCUUCAAACCACCGCAGGCAAAAAGCGUCUCUUCAGGCUCUUCAGGCUCUUCAGGCUCUUCAGGCUCUGAUAAACCUGUUCGGGGCACUAACCCUGUGACUAAGACUGCAUUACCAGCCAAGAAACACCCCUUACCGAAAACUGAUGCCUUACCUGCUCCAAAGAAGAAAAAGAUGGAUACUCCUUUGCCAUCCACUAAUGUUGAAGCUUCUACAGCUUCUUCAGACACAGUCAAAGCCAAAAGCCUGAAGCCUCCUUCACACAGCCAGAGAACCUUCCCUGCCAAACCUCCAAAACAUGAUGCUGCAGUAGUGCCAUCUGAUGCUACAACAACUUGUGACCCAACCAGUAGUGUUAGGACUUUGAGACCACCGUCUACCAGUCUCAAGGCCCCCAUUACUAAACCCCCGUGCCAGCGUUGUGCGACCUGCAGUUCACUUCAGGAACAGCUUAAAUUGAAAGAUGAAGAAAUUAAGCAAUUAAAAGAAGAACUUCUAAAAUGGAGCCAAAAAGAAGAUCCAGCAACAUAAACGAUGUGAAUGGAAUCGACUGAAUUUUGUUAAUAUAAUGUGGCAACACUUUUAGCUAAUUUUAUGUGUAACAAAACAUUGUAAAUUUUGAUAAAUAUGUACGUUAUUGGUUAAUAAAAGAC